UCAACUACCCCGGCCUAAAGGCCGAUCUUGAAGAAGUUCAGUUGACCAGGGACGGCGCUUCGGCGCUACGUUGUACGGAAGACAGAAGACCGACCGGCGAAUGCUUCCUCAGUUCGCCGCUCUCGAAGUCGCAGCAGCAGACACGGUUUUGGGUAUCCCCGAAACGGGCUGCGACCGGCGAAGCGAUUCGUUCUCUGCCGCACAACAUUUCCGAGGGGAGA
ncrna:Burkholderia ambifaria MEX-5 HNH endonuclease-associated RNA and ORF (HEARO) RNA